UUGUUACAGCAGCAAAUAUACUAAAUUGAAAAGAUUCAGAGAAGAUUAGCAUUGUCUCUGUGCAAGAAUGACUCCAAAAACAUGAAAAAUUACCUUAUUUAU